ensembl:lncRNA
CUCACAUAGCCAUGCUGUCAGUAACUAAUUUCAUGUCAGUCUGAUCAUUGCACCUUUGUACGUAAGCUGGUUUCUUUCUGAGUCUAUGGCUUUUCUGGAACCUUGGUAACCUGGAAUCUCUGUAAGUCAUGUGAGGGAGUGGGCAUGCUUGGCACUGUGUGGCCUUUUCCAUGGGAAACUCAGAGUCUUUGUUUAUACAGCAAGUCUUCUGUCAUUUCUCUGAUCAUAUCUUCUCCUGUUCCACUGCUGUGAACAUGUAUGGAUCUAUUUCCCACUUCUUUUAAGUUUUCUCUCAUUUUCUUCUUUUUUUUUGCAUUGUCUUCUGUGAAAACAAUUUAGCUCCAGCUUCUAGUGUCCUAACCUAUUUUGAAAAAUUGUUUUGCAAUAGCCAUUUCAACUUUAAAUUCUUUUUUUAUUUAUUGCUUUUUUGGGGGACAAGUUCUUGCUCUGUCAUCCAGGCUGGAGUGCAGUUUCACAAUCACAACUUACUGCUGCCUCGACUCCCCAGGCUCAAGUGAUCGUCCCACCUCAGCCUUCCAAGUAGCUGGGACCACAAGCGUGUGCCAUAUGUCUGGCUAAUUUUUUAAUUUUUAUUUUUUUGUAGAGACAGAGUCUCACUAUGUUUCCCAGACUGGUUUUGAACUCCUGGGCUCAAGUGAUCCUUCUGCCGCAGCCUCCCGAAGUGCUGGGAUUACAGGUCCCUCUGGAUGAUCUGAUCUAUUCAAACAUCUACACACUGAUGAUUUUUGAGAUGGUAGCUCUCCUGAAUUCCAAACCUGAAUUUUCUUUCUAUGGGAAAUAG